UACGUAGGGUGCGAGCGUUAAUCGGAAUUACUGGGCGUAAAGCGUGCGUAGACGGUCAUGUAAGUCGGGUGUGAAAGCCCCGGGCUCAACCUGGGAAUUGCAUUCGAGACUGCAUGGCUAGGAUGCGGAAGAGGGAAGCGGAAUUUCCGGUGUAGCGGUGAAAUGCGUAGAUAUCGGGAGGAAUACCAGUGGCGAAGGCGGCUGCCUGGCCUGUUCUUGACGCUGAGGCGCGAAAGCUGGGGGAGCAAACGGG
rnacentral:rRNA from 1 species